rnacentral:rRNA from 1 species
CCUACGGUAGGCAGCAGUGAGGAAUAUUGGUCAAUGGACGAGAGUCUGAACCAGCCAAGUAGCGUGAAGGAUGACUGCCCUAUGGGUUGUAAACUUCUUUUAUAAAGGAAUAAAACGAGGCACGUGUGCCUUUUUGCAUGUACUUUAUGAAUAAGGAUCGGCUAACCCCGUGCCAGCAGCCGCGGUAAUACGGAGGAUCCGAGCGUUAUCCGGAUUUAUUGGGUUUAAAGGGAGCGUAGAUGGGUUGUUAAGUCAGUUGUGAAAGUUUGCGGCUCAACCGUAGAAUUGCAAUUGAUACUGGCAGUCUUGAGUACAGUUGAGGUAGGCGGAAUUCGUGGUGUAGCGGUGAAAUGCUUAGAUAUCACGAAGAACCCCGAUUGCGAAGGCAGCUUACUAAACUGUGACUGACAUUGAUGCUCGAAAGUGUGGGUAUCAAACAGGAUUAGAUACCCUUGUAGUC